rnacentral:lncRNA from 1 species
UUUUCUUUGAAACCUAAUCACAUCUUUAGCCAACUUCAGUCUGCCAUGGCUUCAUUGUAAUAUGAUGACUCCUCCCCAGAAAUGCUCUUUACUGAAAACCCAUCAACUUUUGUUCACUUAAUGCAGAAGCAAAUUUGAAAACUGCACUGUCCCACAAUAUGAUGAGGAUAGCCUGUUCUUUUUAUUAACUAUAUGCAUUUUAGAAACCAAUUGACAUUCAAAAUCCGAAUUGCCUCACCUCAACUGGAAUCGUCCUUGACAGCGUCUUGACAGUCAAUUAGACCCAAGAAAUGAUCUUUCCAUAUGUCAUCGUGGAUUUGAUUGUCGGCUUGAAUAUUACCCUCCGUCAUCGCAGUUGGAUUACCUCACUGCAAUCGGAUUCAUCCUUGGACAGCGUGUAGACCUCCCAAGAAAUGAUCUUUUCAUAUUGCCGUCUAGAAGAUUACUCUCCGCAGUUGGAUUACCUCGCCGCAAUCAGACCAAAGA